rnacentral:rRNA from 1 species
AGAGUUUGAUCAUGGCUCAGGAUGAACGCUAGCGGGAGGCUUAACACAUGCAAGUCGAGGGGUAACAGGGGUAGCAAUACCUGCUGACGACCGGCGUACGGGUGAGUAACGCGUAUGCAACCUGCCCUAUACAGGAGGAUAGCCCGGAGAAAUUCGGAUUAAUACUCCAUGUAGCAUUUUUUUCGCAUGAAUUAGAUGUUAAAGAUUUAUCGGUAUAGGAUGGGCAUGCGUCCCAUUAGCUAGUUGGUGAGGUAACGGCUCACCAAGGCAUCGAUGGGUAUGGGGUCUUAAAGGAUGGUCCCACACACUGGCACUGAGACACGGGCCAGACUCCUACGGGAGGCAGCAGUGAGGAAUAUUGGUCAAUGGGUGAGAGCCUGAACCAGCCAUCCCGCGUGCAGGAUGACGGUCCUAGUGAUUGUAAACUGCUUUUCUAUGAGAUGAAUAAGAAUUACGUGUAGUUCGAUGACCGUAUUAUAGGAAUAAGCAUCGGCUAACUCCGUGCCAGCAGCCGCGGUAAUACGGAGGAUGCAAGCGUUAUCCGGAUUUAUUAGGUUUAAAGGGUGCGUAGGUGGGCGUUUAAGUCAGUGGUUAAAGCCAUUAGCUUAACUAAUGUAUGCCAUUGAUACUGGAUGUCUUGAAUGUGGUAGAGGUAGGCGGAAUGUGUUGUGUAGCGGUGAAAUGCUUAGAUAUAACACAGAACACCGAUUGCGAAGGCAGCUUACUAUUCCAUUAUUGACGCUGAUGCACGAAAGCGUGGGGAUCAAACAGGAUUAGAUACCCUGGUAGUCCACGCUGUAAACUAUGAUCACUCGUUUUUG